rnacentral:ncRNA from 1 species
GACGGGAUGAUAGGGCCAAAUACAAGACCUUCGGGGAAUAAGCCCAGCCGUCUAUCGGCGGUAGUUGAGUCCCGUCGCCUUCAA